ACCCUGCUAAUCCAACAUGGCUUUUACGACGAAAACGCCCCAAAGUUCGUUGCAUUUCCAGAUCAGGCAUCAAUCCUAUUUGGAUCAUUUCUUUAACAAGCCUCAAAGCUUCACCGAUUCUGUUAACGUUUAUAUAGCCGUUGACCAAGGUUUUAUAGGAAGCAAUAUCAGGCGCAUAACCCAUAAUCACCAUUAAGUUCAACACCACCUUCGCCUUAUCCAUUCUGCCCUGCAAACAAUGUUCACUAACCAGCAUACUGCAAGUUAUUGUGCUGAGUUUCAUACCGUAUUCAAUUGUUGCCUCAAAUAUUUUGUGAGUCUCUUCUGUCAUCCCACCUUUGUAGAUAGCAUCCAAAAGUAUUACCAAAGUAACGGUAUCAGGCAAGAGUCCCCGGCCUACCAUAUCAUCAAACAACCUUGUGGCUUCUUCCCAUUGAGCUGUACGGCACAUGCCAUUGAUUAAACUGUUGUAAGUGAUAACAUCUGGGGCAACACCUUCAUCCAGCAUUCUAUUAAACACCCUUGUAGCUUCUUCCCAUUGAGCUGUACGGCACAAUCCAUUAAUUAAGGAGUUGUAAGUCACAACAUCAGGCUUUUCCCCUCUAUGGAUCAUUUCUUCCACAAGAUUCAGUGCCUCUGCUGUCUUCCCUUCCUUGCAUAAAGCAUCCAGUACAGAAUUAUAUGUAACAAUAUCAGGCAAGGCUCCAUAACCAAUCAUGGUUUUAAAUAAACUCAUAACUUCCUCCCAGUUACCAGACUUGCAUGAAGUAGAAAUCAAGCAAUUAAAAGUGACAACAUCAGGCUUUAUGCCUCUCAUUGUCAUCUUUUCAAAUAGAGCAAGCGCUUCUUGAAUUCUUUCUUCCUUGCAAAGACCGCUGAUAAGAACAUUAUAUGUGUAUACAUUGGGUGAAAUUCCACUGUUAAGCAUGCAAAUCAAGAAGCUCUUGGCUUUUUCCAACCUCCCCAAUUGGCACAAUGCAUAAAUUAGAGCGGUGUAGGUUAAAACAUCUGGCUUGACUCCUUGAUCUUCCAUUGCUUCCAAAAGAGAGAGCACUUCUUCCCAGCGACUCGUGUUGCAUAACCCAUGAAUCAAUGUGUUAUAAUUGAAAACAUUCGGUACAACACUUUUGCUGAUCAUAUCUCGAAAUAGGGUCAAGGCCUCGUCUAUUCGUCUUUCUUUACAGAGGCUAUCAAUGAUUGGAUUGUAGCAUUCUUGGUUGGGCUUGAACCUUCCAUCUUCCCACAUCUUCAUUAGUAUCUCUAGUGCCUUAGAAGUUUUCCCAGCCUUGCAUAACCCAUUGAUCAUGGUAGCAUAAGUGAUUUCAUUGCCUCGUCCCAGGAACUGUACUUGCAAAGUCCGUGAAGUAAAAUACUUAUAGAAUGAGCAUCGGGUUGAAGACCAUAUUUAAGGGUAGUUGCUAAAACAGAGAAACCCAAGUCCACCCGGUUCAGACGGCACAAGCAAUUCAGAAAAAUAUUCAUUGUACAGACAUCAGGUCGGAAUUGAGCGCAACCCAUCAACUGUUUACACAUAGAAACCACAGCAGAAUACUCCUUCAUCUUGGAGAGUGCCCCAAACAAACAAUUGAAAGUCCAAAUAGAGGGCAAGGGUUUGGUUUGAAUCAUGGAAUCGAAGUAACCCAAUGCUUCAUCUUUCCCAAUUUUUCCAUAUUUGCAUCGAGUUUGGAUCAAAUUGUCCGAUUCCAAAUGUGUUUGUUUAAAUCUAACUGUACUAGUAGCAUUAGCAUUACCAGCAGCGGAAUGAAAUCCAUCUUUUUUGUGCAGAAAGGUAAAAAUGAAUGAAGGAGUACCUGUUGAGUUAGGAAGUCUCGUGGUUAUCACCUUUAUCUUCAUCUUCCACAGAUUCAGCCCAGUUCAUGAAAUCCCAUGAAUUUCAAUCCUUCUCUGGAAUCAAGCUGCAAUUGAAAAGAAACUGACUUCAAUUGGUUCUUGUUUCAAACCCUAAUUCUGUAUUCCGAAAAACACUACCCUUAUGCUCAUGACAUAAAAUAUGCAACAUGUAUUUACAGAGUGUUAUAAUCUAUGGAUGCGUUUGUUGCACCGGAUUAUCUUGAACUGGACUAGCUUCAUGAACUAAACUGGACUGGCUUAGACUAGACUAAACUGGACUGACUUAGUGAAGCGUUUAGUGCAGUGUCAGACUAAUAAGCAGGAUAACUAUUAAAUUUAGAUACUAUAUUAUUUAAUCUCUAUUUAAUAAUAUUUUAUUAUUAAUCUAUCAUUUUACUUGUUUCUAUAAACAAUCUAAUGGCCAGUAUUUUUUUUCCAAGCAUAUCACUGGCCCAUUCCUCUUUCCUCUGGUACUCUAUCCCUCCCUUCUCCCUCUUUUUAUCUGGUUCACCAUUUUUCUAGAGUUCUCUUCCACUCUCCGUAUACAUCUCUCUAUUUUCCACCACCCAUCUCGCUCCCAUCCCCUCUUUUCCACCAUCCACUCUCUCCCUAACCUCUCCCUUUUUUCCUUAUGCAGAGGAUUCAUCAGAGCUCACCACCCAACGCCUCCUCUGAUUUUCUCAGAAAAUCUCGGGAUUUUUUGGUGAUUUUGCGUUUUUGUUUUGAAUUUGUUCGGGAGAUUCGUCUGCAUGUGCUUUUGGGGGAAUUUUAGAUGUUGGAUUUUGAGAUUUAGGCAGUGGGUGGGGGUGGUUUUCAGAUCUACACAGGGAGUAAAGGAGCAGGAGUUGCAGACGACAAGGUGUGCAAACGAUGUUGGAGACGGGAUUAGCAAUCCCAUGGUUUUUGGGGGGUCUCACUAGGACGACUUAGUGAAGCUCAUAGUCGGAACGAGUCUGACUUAAUCCCAUUUAAGUUUAGUCCAGCUUGCACCAAACACGGGAUUAGUAGUCUUAGCAAAGUAGUCCAAUCCAGUGAACUUUAACGAGGGCAAACAAACACGCCCUAUAUAUCUAUAUAGGACUAAAAAGGUGAAGUUUUGGUUGCCACAAAAAAAAAAAAAGGUGAAGCUUUUAAAAAGUUCUUAAAUACCGCUCUAUUUUUUUUAUUUUUUUAAGGAAUACAACUUAAUUAAAAAGAAAAAAAACUAUAAAAAUACAAAAUAAAACUAUCUCAUGCACAUGAGUAAGUGGCCAUUUAUCACGCAGGUGAAAAUAUGUGGUGUCAUUGCAUGACGACGUGAGUUUGAAUCUUGUCGGGGGCUAAUCUAUCUUCCCGGAACUUAUUUUCAACACGCCCCCUCAUGUAUGACGAAUUUUGAAGCCUAACACUUUGACAACACAAUGGAAGUGACGUGGAGCACGUGUGACCAUUUGGCUUCACAUGUGGGACAACUUGCUCUGAUACUAUAUAUAUUCGUCUUUGGUAGUAGUGGAGGUAUUGAUAGUAGUGGUGGAAUGAGAAUCCUCGCCAGACUCUCUUUGUGAAGAUCUCAGGGAUUCUCAAAUCACAUCCGUUCAUCGUACUUCGUGCGGUCAAAAAUCAUUGUAAUUUUUAUUAUUUAAAAUUGAAUAUAAACAACACUUGACAAAAACUGGUUGUACGAUGUACGAUAAACGAAUGUGAUUGGAGGAUUCCCAGGAUCCUCACAAAGAAGAUCUAGCGAGGAUCGUUUCUUGUAGUGUUGACAAACGACAUCAGAGGUGGUAGUAAUGGUGGGAUUUAGGUGGUGACAACAACGAAGUAAUGGUGGUCAUUGCCCUAUACUUUGUUGUUUUUUUUUCGACAGAAAAAAAAAAGUACAGGGCAAUGACGACAUAGUGGUGCCAGCGGCGAUGACUAUGAUGGUGGCAAAUAAUGGUUGUGUUAACAAUGGUUGUGAAAAUGGUGGUUGAGAGGUGGUGGGGAUGAUGGUGGUAGAGAAUGUGGAGGUGGUGGAGGCCGUGGUGAUGGUAAUGGGUUGAAGAAUGUGAUGAUGCUGGUGAAAGGUGGUGGUGGUGGCCCCAAUGGUGAAACGGUGGAGGUAGUUAUAGCAUAGUGACAUACAUGAUUUUAUAGUGUAUCUUUUUAUUUUCUAUUAUUUGGGAAACUAUUUUUGAAAAACAAAGAAAACAUCUAUUUCAUGUUUUAUAGAACUUUGGCUAAACAGUAUUUUAUGAGUUUUUUGUUUUUUGAGUUUAUUUUCACAAAAUAGUUUGUCAAACGCAUUUUCACCCGCUUUUGUAUUUGCAAAAUGAAUCCUUAUUUUGCAAAACGUUAACGAACAUGUCCUUUUUUUUUGUUAUGAUACAACAAUGAAUGAGAGUUUUUUUGUUCUAUUAAAAUGACUAAAAGAAUUACACCUAAUCAAAGGAAUAGAAUCUUACCAUCAUAAAUGUGAAAAAAAAGAGCUAGAUGUAAAACAACUCUUCUUGAAGAAAUUUUUUAAAGUGCCUGAUAUUAAAGCAAGCACUCCACAUGUCAUAAACAAGUGGAGGGACACGAUAAAAGUACAAGAAAACCUAAAAGAUGAAUACAUGCAAAAAGUUGUCAAACAAAAAAAAAAAAAAAAAACAGACAAGGUUAUGACAAUAAAAAAACCACCUAAGGGAUAAACAUGUAAGCAUGAACACCCAAAAAAGAAAUUUAAAUGCAGUAAUGGAAGAAUGUGCAAGGGUGGACCAUGUCAAACAACAUAAGAUGAGAGCAGUCUAAAUUUGAUAAUUUCUAGCAACUGCAUUUCCUUUCCGAAAAGUAUGAGGUCGAUGAAAUUCCCAACAUGUUUCAAGUGACCAAGGAGGCAAAAAAGAGUCCAAUGAAAGAAAAGGUGAACAAGUGUCGGAAGCCAAACAACAAAUAAUCACACCAGAUGAAUCACUUGCAAGCUAGAGAUACCAUGUGUGUUUAUCAUUUUCCUAAGAACUAACAGUCUAUUUGGAUACGGUAAAAAAACACAGAAUUUUAAUUAAUUUUGGAAAUUUAAGAUGGGAAAGCAAUUUUCCCUUGUAUGAGAACUUGCCGCGAGAGAAAAGGAAAAUUCCAAGGGGAAAAAACGUGGAAAUCGAGGAUGAAGCUUCCCGAGUUCAAUUUCCGUCUAAAUAGAUGUAAUUUUCCAAUUACAACUAUGACGAGAAUCGCAAAUUCAUGUGGAGUAAAUCUUGAGCAUACCAAUUUUCACGAUUAGGACACCAAAUUGGGAUGAUUGGGUGCCAAAUUCCAAAUACCGGAAUCUUAAUUAUUGUAAAUUGUAACUCCCGUCGUUUAGAAUUCUAUGAAAAUUUAAAAAUUCAUCAUCCAAACAUAGUGUAAAGGUUUAACUAGUUCAGUUGUAAAUAUCAAUCAACGGUACCAUGUAUUUGUUCAUUAGUGACAUCCAAAAACUCACGCAAGCCACACUCACAAGGAGAAAUAUUCUGCAAAAAAAAUUGCCUUCUAAACCAAAACGUCUACGUUGAAUUUCCAGUUCAGGUAUCAAUACUUUUUCGAUCACUUCUUUAUACAAGCCCCGUAGCUUCAAUGGUUCUCUCCGAUGUGCCGCCACGAGCACUGAUCUUCAUCCAAUCCAAAGUUUACCACAACUAACAAUAUUGCGUGGUCACUAGAAGUUAGAAACUAACGAUAACUGAAGGCUUUUCAUCCUUAAUCUUCAAACCCUUGCAGAGGGACCUAACAACUACCCUGCUAAUCCAAUAUGGCUUUUAUGACGAAAACGCCCCAAAGUUAGUUGCAUUUCCAGAUCAGGCAUCAAUCCUAUUUGGAUCAUUUCUUUAACAAGCCUCGAAGCUUCACCUAUUCUGUUAACGUUUAUAUAGCCGUUGACCAAGGUUUUAUAGGAAGCAAUAUCAGGCGCAUAACCCAUAGCUGCCGUUAAGUUCAAGACCACCUUCGCCUUAUCCAUUCUGCCCUGCAAACAAUAUUCACUAACCAGCAUACUGCAAGUUAUUGUGCUGAGUUUCAUACCGUAUUCAAUUGUUGCCUCAAAUAUUUUGUGAGUCUCUUCCGUCAUCCCACCUUUGCAGAUAGCAUCCAAAAGUAUUACCAGAGUACCGGUAUUAGGAAAGAUUCCCCGGCCUACCAGUUCAUCAAACAGCCUUGUGGCUUCUUCCCAUUGAGCUGUACGGCACAUGCCAUGGAUUAAACUGUUGUAAGUGAUAACAUCAGGUGUCAGACCUCUUUGAGUCAUUAACUCUAACAUACUGAGGGCUUCCUCGGUCCUCCCCUCCUUGCAAAGAGAACUUAUCAUAUUAUUAUAGGUUAUAACACUUGGGGCAAUACCUUCAUCCAGCAUUCUAUUAAACCACCUUGUGGCUUCUCUCCAUUGGCUGGUCCGGCACAAUCCAUUAAUUAAGGAGCUGUAAGUCACAACAUUAGGCUUUUCCCCCCUACUGAUCAUUUCUUCCACAAGAUUCAGUGCCUCUGUUGUCUUCCCUUCCUUGCAUAAAGCAUCCAGAACAGCACUGUAUGUAACAAUAUCAGGCAAGACUCCAUAACCAAUCAUGGUUUUGAAUAACCUCACACCUUCCUCCCAGUUACCAGACUUGCAUGAUGCAGAAAUCAAGGAAGUAAAAGUGACAACAUUAGGCUUUAUGCCUUUCGUUGUCAUAUUUUCCAACAGAGUAAGCGCUUCUUGAAUUCUUUCUUCCUUGCAAAGAGUGCUGAUAAGAAUAUUAUAUGUGUAUACAUCUGGUGAAAUUCCAUAACCAAUCAUGGUUUUGAAUAAGCUCACACCUUCCUCCCAGUUACCAGACUUGCAUGAUGCAGAAAUCAAGGAAGUAAAAGUGACAACAUCAGGCUUUAUGCCUUUCGUUGUCAUAUUUUCCAACAGAGUAAGCGCUUCUUGAAUUCUUUCUUCCUUGCAAAGACUGCUGAUAAGAAUACUAUAUGUGUAUACAUCUGGUGAAAUUCCACUGUUAAGCAUGCAAAUCAAGUAGCUCUUGGCCUUUUCCAUCCUCCCCAAUUGGCACAAUGCAUAAAUUAGAGUGUUGUAGGUGACAACAUUAGGCUUGACUCCUUGAUCUACCAUUCCUUCAAAAAGAGAGAGCAUUUCUUCCCAGCGGCUCGUGUUGCAUAACCCAUGAAUCAAUGUGGUAUAAGUGAUAAUACCCGGUACAACACUUUUGCUGAUCAUAUCUCGAAAUAGGGUCAAGGCGUCGUCUAUUCGUCUUUCUUUACAAAGGCUAUCCAUAAUUGGAUUGUAGCAAUCUUGGUUGGGCUUCAAUCUUCCAUCUUCCCACAUCUUCAUUAGUAUCUCGAGUGCCUUAGAAGUUUUCCCAGCUUUGCAUAACCCAUUAAUUAUUGUAGCAUAAGUGAUUUCAUCGCAUGUGUAUCCCUUAUCUUCUAUUUCCUGGAAGAACUCCAUUGCCUCGGCCAGAGAACUAUUCUUGCAAAGUCCAUGGAGCAAAGUAUUUAUAGAAUGAGCAUCGGGUUGAAGACCAUACUUAAGGGUAAUUGCUAAAACAGAGAAACCCAAAUCCACCCGGUUUAGACGACACGAGCAAUUCAGAAAAAUAUUCAUUGUGCAGACAUUAGGUCGGAAUUGAGCGCAACCAUCAACUGUUUACACAUAGAAACCACAGCAGAAUACUCCUUCAUCUUGGAGAGUGCCCCAAACAAACAAUUGAAAGUCCAAAUAGAGGGCAAGGGUUUUGUUUGAAUCAUGGAAUCAAAGUAACUCAAUGCUUCAUCUGUCCUAAAAUUUCCAGAUUUGCAUCGAGUUUGAAUCAAAUUCUCCAAUUCCAAAUGGGUUUGUUUAAUUCUACCCGUACAAGCAGGAUUAGCAUUAACAGCGUCGGAAUGAAAUCCACUACUUGUAUUCUGCAGAAUGGUAAAAAUGAAAGAAGGAAGAUUACUUGGAGAUGGAGGUCUUGUGGAUAUCCUCUUCAUCUUCAUUUUUGCGACUGGCCGACUCCUGACAAAUUCAGUUCACGUCAAUUUUUUAGAUGAAUCUGACUUUAAUUUCAUUGCUCUUUUCAAACCCUAAUCCCCUUUUCUGCUCUCAGAGGCCCAACGACACGUUUGCUUGUUGGUUGACAAAGAUGCAGGUAAUUGAAUAUGAUAGGGAUUAGCAUGAACAGCAUUGGAAUGAAAUCCACUACUUGUAUUCUGCAGACUGGUAAAAAUGAAAGAAGGAAGAUUACCUGGAGAUGGAGGUCUUGUGGUUAUCCUCUUCAUCUUCAUUUGAAAGCUCUCUCCUGUUUUUCUUGGGGUUCGAGGACGAUUUUGGUAUAAAGGCAAGGAUUUGGCUCCAUUUGAGAGCUCUCUCCUGUUUUUCUUCUUAGUUUUCAGUGCUUAGAAUUCUUUGUGAUUUUUCUGCAUAGCUAAGGUUAGGAGAGAAACCUACACUAUAACUGUGUACUUUUAUUAUUUUGAUUUUAUUUCGGAUUUUCACCGUCAAUUUUAGGGGUGGGUUCGGUUCAAAUCGGUUCGGUUUUUUGUCAAAACCGAAACCGAACCGAAAUUUCGGUUCGGUUCAAUUUUUUUUCGGUUUUUUUCGGUUCGGUUUUUUUUCGGUUCGGUUUUUUCCGGUUCGGUUUCGGUUUUUUUUUUCAAAAAAUGAAAUAAAUUGAAAUCUUAAAUUUUAACAUAUCCAACACAAUCAUAACAUAAAUAUUCCGACUAAACUUAAAGAUAAUGAAAAUAAACAUUUAAAGUUCAACUAGAAUUAUAACAUAAAGAUUUUUUUUUAAUAUUUUGGGUUUAAAGUUUAACUGUAAAUAGAUUUCUUUUUAGACGAUGAUGAUGGAGUACGACCUUAUUCAUUCCUCUCUCUCUCUCUCUCUCUUUCUCUCUCUCUCUCUCUCUCUCUCUCUCUCUCUCUCCAUGUAUUCUUCACUAGCAAUAAGAUAAACAUUCUAUAAUAUACUAUUUAUUUUGAUUAUUGUCUAGGUAACAAUUUUUGAUAUUUUCUUUAUCUUUAUGGUCCGAAUUUGUUUUAUCCAUAUAUGUGGUUACAUAAUAUAAUUUCUACAUUCUGUGUUCAGCUUCUACUGCCAGCAAAUUUUGAAGAGGUGUUCAUCAAUGUUUUUGAAUAUAUUGAUAUACUUUUCAAAAUUGUUGAGCCACGGAAGCUACUAUACUUGGCCAUAGGUGAGAAAGUUUGAAUUUUGUUUUUGAUCUCGUAGUGUUUAAUAAACUCAUGAGACUUUUAUACGCUGUUUGUUUUCCCUAAUCAUCUGCAAUGCAAUUGAGAUAUGUGUUCUUAUAUAUGUGUUGCACUUAAUGAUAUAAACUAGAAAUAUUGCAUGUAAUGGUAUAAGUUCUAAUUUUUAUUGUAGAUGGAGAAGCUGAGAAGACAAUUUGAAUUGGAAAGCAAACAAGUCCUACCAAAGCAGCAGUCCGAAGUAUCAUAUUCUAAUAUAAUAAAUUCAAAUAAUUAAAUAAAUAAAAUUAAAAAAAUAUUAAUUUAAUUAUCGGUUCGGUUCGGUUCAUUUUUUUCAAUUCGGUUCGGUUUUUUCGGUUUCGGUUCGGUUCGGUUUUCGGUUUUUUCGAUUUUCGGUUUUUUGAACCCACUCCUAGUCAAUUUUACAUUGUGGAUGUUCAGUUGAAUUUUUUAUUUAAUCUAAUUUCAGAUUGAUGAAUAUUAAUUAUGAUCAAACAUUUUUUUUUUUUUUUAUAGUUUUGUUUCAACAUUUUUUUUAUAUUUUGUCGUCGUAGGUAUAAACUAUUAUUAGAAUUUUAAGUAAAGUGUAGCAACGAUCUCUUAACUUUAACUCAAUUGGAACAAUGGUCCCUCAACUAAAAAUUCAUUACCACUGAUCCCUCAACUCAUCAAAACAUGCAGCUAUGUUCCAUCAACUAAAAGUCUAUUACUCUUGGUCCCUCAACUUUAACUCAAUUGUAGCAGUGAUUAUUUCAACAUAACUCAUUUUGACAAAACUCUAACGAAGUUGACGAAAAUGGUCAUAGCUACAUGUUUUGAUGAGCUGAUGGACCCUAAUUGUAGCCAUGGUCCUUCCAACAUAAUUCAUUUUGACAAAAUUCUGAAGUUAAUGAAAAUGACCAUAGUUACACAUUUUGAUGAGUUGAGAGACCAAUGAUAAUGAAUUUUUAGUUGAGGGACCAUCGCUCCAAUUUGAUUAAAGUUGAGAGACCAUUGCGACAAUUUACUCGUAUUUCUAUAAGAAAUCUAAAGGGCUUUAUAUAGUUCGAGUUCGAACAUCCAAAAUAGAGAUUUAAUCACCAAAAGCUUUUAUAUUGAGAAAACUUAAUUGUCAUAUCUUCCGAUUGAGAGAGCAUGUUGUUUUGUAUAUCAGUUGAGUCAUAAAAAAUGAAUCGAAAUAGUGAAAUUCAUAUUGUAUAUGGGCGGAACCCCAAUGCUUUAAUGUUACGUUGAAUAUUUUUUCUAGAAGUUACAUCAUAUUAUGCACAAUGUGGUUAUUUGGAUAUUCUUUUUCAAAUGCUUUCUUUGUUGAUUUGUCUUCCUCUUCUUGCCACUUGUGGGUACUUGUUCUAAUGUUAUUUGGAGCAUAUGGUAUCUAUGAAACAAGAUCCGUUUUGAGGGUGCUAAGCUAUGUAUGGCUUACGCCAAGUCUAGGAUUCUUAUGUGUACUGAAGAAUCCGUUCCUUUGGUUUUUUUUUGGGAGUUUUAACGAAAAGUCCACGGUACUGUUCACUUUAACGAAAAACCACAUUUUUACACUAAAAAGUCAAACCUGAUACUAUUCACUUUACCCUUUAUUUUGUCCUUAUCGUUAAAACUCAAAGUUUUCAAGCCAUUUUCAUUAGUUUUUUUUUUUUUUUUUUUCCUUCAGUCCCUUCAGCGUCAAGUGCUCCUAAUUUUUUAAAUUUUAGGUGUUUCUCCUUUGUUGUCCACUGCCCCUUGUUUCCUCCCUGUUGUUUGGCAACCUCCUAUGAUCCGGUGGAUCGAGGUAAAUACUAAUGCGUCAUUCAAGUCUACAGGCCAUGCAGGAUAUGGUGGUGUAUCGUGAUUCUCAAGGUAUUGGGUGCUUUUGUAUUUGUCUUUUCCAACUUUAUACGUAAAAUAAUGUCAAGAGGAAAGCACAUGGCAGGAACAUAUCAUCGUUCAUGUCUCAUUCCAAAGUCAACUAUUGAUUGAAAUUCUAUUGAAACAAUCAUCUGGUUGGCUUCAAUGGCUAAAGAGGCAACAGCAGCUGCCUCAUCUUUUCCUCCUCAAUAGCAGCUGCCUCAUCGUUCAUGUCAACAGCAGCUGCCUCGUUUCACCAAUUCAUGGAAAUACCAUGUAUUCUUGAGUUUCAGAGGCAAGGUCACGCGCUACAGUUUCACAUGCCAUUUGUAUAGCACUUUGCGUCAAAAAGGAAUUUACACCUCGCUGGAUGAUUUUCUUUCAAGAGGAGAAAUGUCAACAACGCUCCUCAAAGCGAUUGUAGAGUCGAGGAUUUCUGUCAUUGUAUUCUUUGGAAACUAUGUCUCCAGAAGGUGGUGCUUGGACGAACUUGUGAAGAUCCUCGACUGCAAGAAAUCAAAUCAACAAAUGGUGGUACCGGUAAUUUACAAGGUGAGUCCCUCGGAUGUGUGAAAUACAUCAUUACACUAUUACCUCGCUUUCUCCUUCACUUACCUUUGAUCCUGUACAUCUUCAGUUAAUGGAAGCAUUUAAGAGUAGAAUGUGCCUAAGGAUAUGGUAAAUUGUCAACAUCUUAAGGAUUUUAAAUAAAAGCCAACAGAAAUGUUUCCACAGGAAGAGUCAACCGAAAGCUUGCAGAUUGUAUAAAACAUCAUAUCGCUGGUUAUGUUUAAGAAACAUCAACAAUGCCAACAAUUAGGAUACAACUAUAUAUAUGUUGGCCAAUUUGAGCAUUUACCCUGCUAAUCCAAUAUGCCUUUUACAACGAAAACGCCCCAAAGUUUGUUGCAUUUCCAGAUCAGGCAUCAAUCCUAUUUCGAUCAUUUCUUUAACAAGCCUCAAAGCUUCACCCUUUCUGUCAACGCUUAUAUAGCCGUUGACCAAGGUUUUAUAGGAAGCAAUAUCAGGCGCAUAACCCAUAAUCACCAUUAAGUUCAAGACCACCUUCGCCUUAUCCAUUCUGCCCUGCAAACAAUAUUCACUAACCAGCAUACUGCAAGUUAUUGCGCUGAGUUUCAUACUGUAUUCAAUU
rnacentral:lncRNA from 1 species